AGCGAACGCUGGCGGCAGGCCUAACACAUGCAAGUCGAACGAACCCUUCGGGGUUAGUGGCGGACGGGUGAGUAACACGUGGGAACGUGCCUUUAGGUUCGGAAUAACUCAGGGAAACUUGUGCUAAUACCGAAUGUGCCCUUCGGGGAAAGAUUUAUCGCCUUUAGAGCGGCCCGCGUCUGAUUAGCUAGUUGGUGAGGUAAUGGCUCACCAAGGCUACGAUCAGUAGCUGGUCUGAGAGGAUGACCAGCCACAUUGGGACUGAGACACGGCCCAAACUCCUACGGGAGGCAGCAGUGGGGAAUCUUGCGCAAUGGGCGAAAGCCUGACGCAGCCAUGCCGCGUGGAUGAUGAAGGUCUUAGGAUUGUAAAAUCCUUUCACCGGUGAAGAUAAUGACUGUAGCCGGAGAAGAAGCCCCGGCUAACUUCGUGCCAGCCGCCGCCGUAAAAC
rnacentral:rRNA from 1 species